rnacentral:rRNA from 1 species
UACGGAGGGGGCAAGCGUUAUUCGGAUUCAUUGGGCGUAAAGCGCGCGUAGGCGGAUUGGAAAGUCGGAUGUGAAAGCUCCACUGCUCAACAGGGAGACGUCAUCCGAAACUGCCAGUCUUGAGGUCCGGAGAGGCAAUCGGAAUUCCCGGUGUAGCGGUGGAAUGCGUAGAUAUCGGGAAGAACACCAGUGGCGAAGGCGGAUUGCUGGACGGCACCUGACGCUGAGGCGCGAAAGUGUGGGGAGCGAACGGG